rnacentral:rRNA from 1 species
UACGGGGGGGGCAAGCGUUGUUCGGAAUUACUGGGCGUAAAGGGCUCGUAGGUGGCCAACUAAGUCAGACGUGAAAUCCCUCGGCUUAACCGGGGAACUGCGUCUGAUACUGGUUGGCUUGAAUCCGGGAGAGGGAUGUGGAAUUCCAGGUGUAGCGGUGAAAUGCGUAGAUAUCUGGAGGAACACCGGUGGCGAAGGCGGCAUCCUGGACCGGUAUUGACGCUGAGGAGCGAGAGCCAGGGGAGCAAACGGG